UAUAACUCUCUUCACUAAAAUUGAUAUAUUUGGUUUUUUGUUAGUAAAAAUUAUCUUUAACUUGCUUAUCCGUUUUAGCCCAAAUACUUAAUCUGUUCAUGCUUACUUUGUUCAUCUGUCAGUGUGAAGUUGGCGUGGGAGACUAAGGAUUGUUUCAUUUCAAGUUUUAUGUUUUAUAGAAACAUGGAGUGAUGGUAAGCCAAACUUUUAAUACAACCAUCGUUAGAGAAAGAAUUGCAUAACUUCUUGAUGUUGCUAAAUAUUACUUAGAUCAGUGAGGCAGAAUUUGGUAUGUCUUGGUGUGCUGGUUUGGAGGCUCAUUCUAUAAUUCUUAUUUUUGGCUUUCUUGUUUCAAGUUGAGGUAAUUCCUAAACAGCCAAGUGACUGAUUUGGUUCCACCAAGGUUUUUCGUGUGUAUUUCAGUUUUGGUGGCUCUUAACACUGGGUGUCUCAAUACAAUAAGCAUGUAAACUGAUUCGGUUCUAACAAGGUUUUUCGUGUGUAUUUCAAUUUUGGUGGCUCUUGGUACUGUGUGUGUAGAGAGCAUGGUGCAUGUACACAUUGGCGUCGUAGGAUUCCUACAAUUAAAGAAAAUGUUUGCAGGUGUUAUGCUGUGUUUUUUUCUUU